rnacentral:tRNA from 1 species
CCAGCCGUGGCACAACUGGCUGGUGCACCUGCACUGUACGCCGGCGACCCGGGUUCGAUUCCCGCCCCCUGGU